CAAACUGUUUACAUCCUUUUCUCACAAUUUCGGCUAACAAGCAAAUUUAGGGUAUAAAAUUAAAAUAAAAUAAAUAAAUUUAACUAAUUUAUAUCUCUAUAUUACUCUCUGUUGGUGGUUGAAAAUGGGACAAACAGUUUUUGGGACAAACAAGAUUUUGUUUGAGGAAAUCACAACCUCAGCCCAGUUUCAGCAUGAGACAUUUCAGCAAAACGCAUUGAGACAGCAGCCACAAGCAACACUUUCCCAGGAAAGAGGGAUGUGUUUCUCUCUGAUCUGUUGUGGGUGGAUGCUGCUUUCUUCAGUUUUCGCUUUUGGCAAUGCGGCAGUAAAUCGCACUACAACUUUAUUUGUCAAUCAUGGACAGUCUGCCAAAAUUCACUGCAACUACAGACGAACAAAUGACACAGAAAUCAUGACAGUGAAUCUUCAAACAAUAAAUGGUACACUGUGUUACAUGCACAUGCGUUCAUGGGAAAAAACUAGCUGUAAUGAUCACAUCAGAUUCAUAUGGAUUAAUAAGACUAUGGAAAUAUCAUUCGAGCUAUUAAAUUUGCAAAUUCAGGAUACCGGCACAUACACCUGUACUGUGAAGAGGAUUGCAAAACCACCUGAAGAGGAACUGGGAGUAGAAAGAGUUCAAGUUAUUGUACGUCCCGUCUUGUCUCUAUCCUGUGUGAAGAGGCCUGAUGGAUCUCCCAUGAUUCUGUGCUCUGUGGGAUUUUAUCACGAUUCUCUUGAACAGCUGUGGAUCAGAGAUGGAGACAUCCUCAACAGUUCAUACUCAAACAAAUCAUUCAAUGGAUCCUUCAAUCAGAAAUCAUACCUUAUACUGCCGCCACAAACCUUCAAUGACACAAUCUACUCCUGCUGGGUAAACCACUCGUCAUUAAACAAACCACUUGUGGCCAAUUUAUCAAGCUCUGUCUGCUAUGAACGAGGGGGUGUACCUGUGAAUAUGGUGUUUAUCAUCUCUUCGAUUUUGGCUGUCUUUUUGAUCAUUGCAGUCAUGUUCAUUGCAGUCAUGUGUAAACAUUACAGAGUGAGUUUCACACCUGAGCCUGUCCUUCAUGCUCACCUGCAGACUGAGAUGUUGUAUUCAACACUGGGUAACCAUCAUCCAGUUCCAUGCAACCCUGUUGGAGUCCGCUAAUCUCCACAAUAAGCACUGAAUGAAGACAUUUUACAAUGACAGAUCUCUGUGUAUUCACUCUAGUACAAUUAUACAACAGGUAGUCCAAGUCUUCCAAUUUGAUUGGCCAAGUAUAGCAAUCCAAAAGUGCAUAAGUGGAAGAGAUUUGGCGAGUCUUUCAGCAGGUUACAUCUAUACGCCAGGCAACAAUGUUUUUUUAUAAACAUUGUUAAACAACUUAUUUGUUUAGAAACACUGAAUCAUUCUGGAAUGAAACAAGCAAGUCUUUGAAUCAUUCACUCAACCAAGUGAUUAAAAAAAACCUGAUUCAAUUAGCAACAAGACAAGUGGUUGUUAUUAAAAGUGAGGCAUUGAAUUCACUUAUGAACUGAUUUGUUCAAACAUGAUUCAUUCAGGAACAAAACAAGUGACUUUUUAUGGGUGAUGCACUGAAUCAUUCACUCAACCGUUUUGUUCAAAAAACAGUGAUUCGUUCAGUUACUUAAAGGGUUAGUUCACCCCAAAAUGAAAAUUCUGUCAUUAAUUACUUACCCUCAUGUCGUUCCAAACUCGUAUGACUUUUGUUCAUCUUUGGAACAUAAAUGAAGAUCUUUUCGAUGAAAUCUGAGAGCUUUCUGUCCCUCCAUAGACUGCCUUUGCAACUACCACUUUGACGCUUCAAAAAGAUCAUAAAGAAAUCAGAAAACUAAUCCAUGUAAAUUGAGUGGUUUAGUCCAAAUUUUCUAUUUUUAUUCGCUUUUUAUGAUAAAAAGAUUUAAUUUAGGCUUUUAGUCACAUGUAAACAUUGAUCAGCAAACAUAAACAGAAGCUCAACCGAACAUGAAUAACGCACAAGAACAAACCUCUUCCAGAAGCUCAAACGUGCUGCAUAACACACGAGAAUGAACCUCAUUGGUUAGAUCAAGUUGCAAAGGCAGUCAAUGGAGGAACAGACAUCUCUCCAUUUUACAUCAAAAAGAGCUUCAUUUGUGUUCCAAAGAUGAACGAAAGUCUUACGGGUUUGGAACAACAUGAGGAUGAGUAAUUAAUGUCAGAAUUUUAACUUUGGGGUGAACUAACCCUAUUGUAUAACUAACGUAUUAUUUAUUGAGCGAAAGCAAACAUUGCAAUCGUGCAGUUUGCAGCACAGCUCUGAUUAUCUGCAACUGCUUCACUACUGCUCUUUUCCUGCAGUGUUCAUUCAAUCAGUCUGUAGAUUUUGGAAAGUCUGUGUUGGCAAAUUUCACAGAAAAUCGCAUAGUGUAUGAUGGGAUUCUGACUAAUGAUUCCAUCCAGUUGGAGGAAACGUGGUUGAUAUUUUGAGCCAAUUUCAGAACACAAUUUUUUUCAGUUGUCAUGCAGCUGCUAGCAUCGAGCGUUCACGGCAUGUCGUAAUUACCGUAAUUUCGAGAUGACAACACGUGAUGCUGUUCACAUCGCCGGACUGGGAAUUUUGCAUUUCUAGGGCAACACUAUCAAUGCCUAAAUAAAUCUACAGCAGUCAGGUGGUACAACGGUCACAUGGUACAAGUAAGAGCUCUCAGAAAGUUGUAAUUAUGAGCUCUACGAGGACUUGAACGCUUUUUUACAAGUUUAAAUCUCAUAAUUACUCAUAAUGGCGUGAACAUACCUUGUGGUCCUCAGUCAUUUAGAGUACUCUUCUCUUCUGAGUUCUCUUCUCUACGUUAGGGCAGAAAAAACUGUCACUUACAUGAGAUAACAGUAAUAGAGAAUGUACAACAAUUCAGUGUUUUAAUCAUAUCCUGCCCUGCUUUUUUUUUUCUUUUUUUUUUUGAGAAGCUAUGUCACUGGAAUAUACGUCACAAUAGGGAAGAAAAGACUAUUGAAACCUCCAUUUCAUGGCGACUUUAAGACUAGGCUACCACCUUACCAAAACACAAACAAACUUAACAUAGUGCAAAAACAUUUCUUCACAUCAAUUGCAUGAAUAAAAGGAUGGCAAGCUUCAUCAGAUGGAUUUCAUGAGAUUCUUUGCUGCUCUGAGGGGUUUUACCCUUCUUCUCUGGAGCUGGUGUGGAUGAGAAAUGGAGAAUUUCAGAACAUCUCUCACACAUACAUCAUUAACAAAACUAACCCAGAUGGGUCAUUCACCCUUCAUUCAUAUUUGAAUGUAUCUGACUUACAUGAGAUAACAGUAAUAGCAAACCACAACAAUUCAGCGAUUUAAUCAAGUCCUUCCCUCCAUUUUUCUUUUUUGAGAAGCCGUGUCACUUGAAUAUACAUCACAAUAGGGAAGAAAAGACUAUUGAAACCUCCACCUUACCAAAACACAAACAAACGUAAUAUAGGGCAAAAACAUUUCUUCACAUCAAUUGCAUGAAUAAAAGGAUGGCAAGCUUCAACAUGCGAAACUAAACAUUAAAAAUAGCACUGUAUAAAUAAACACAAAGAAAACUUCCUUUUCAACUGCAACUGAAACUUGUGUGCAACUGCAGGCAGUAAUUCAGUUUGAGGACACAGUCAAUGCACUGACUUUGUGAACUUUGUAUAACUCAUUCUUUUUAUUACAUUUUCACACGUGACCUAAAUGACAGCUUCCCUGCAUUUCACGUGCAUACAACCACGCUGUGGUUAAAAUAACUAGACCUCACCGCCUCUUCAGCGUGUGAAGAUGCUCUACAAAAGAGGUCUUGGUGCAGCUAGUUAUGAGCAAAUGAGGUCUGCAAGACAUUUGGUUUAAACAUUUAAGCUCCCUUGCACUUUUAGACAUUGUCAAACAGCUAGGUCAUGAUGUUACUUCUCCAUUGUAGCUUGGAUAAUGAGUAAUGCCUCUUAUAUUAGUCCCCUCCAAUCAGUGAAGGCCUUAAAAAAGGACAUUGUGACUGGCUGCUCCCUGGAUGAAUACAUAUCAACUUUGUAGGUUGUUUGUUUAACUUAAUGGGAAACUCAUAGUACUCUUUUAAUUAUAGAUUUUUUAUUUAUUUUUUAUUUUUUUUAAAAAAAGCUUUAGUUUAUUUUUCUUUCAGUCUACAAAUUAAGCGUUUUCUCAGAUUGCCUCAGUCGGAUUGGUUGAGCAUGUUUCUGACAUGACUAAACUUAGUCGCCACCUCAAACGAACAUCACUUCUUCAUUUGCACCAUCAUGUGUUAGAACAGCAAGUACUUGCAAAAUGCAAAAGAGGGUGGAGUUUCCAAAAUAUGAAAUGGUGAGAAUAUGGGAAUUUCAUGUUAAAAUAAUAAUAUAUCUAUGCAAAAAUAUUUUUUUGUUGAUGGUGAAUUUCGUAAAUAGAUUGAAACAGCUUUUGUUUUCUUACGUUUUUCAUUCAAAUAUGAUACAUGUUUUGGUAAGUUUUGUGAAGCAUAGCUAUAGAGUAAUUCAUGUGAUGUUUGUAGUAUUGAAAUGUAUCAUUUUGUGGAAAGAUAUUCUUGAAUGCUUGAUUCUGAUCGGUCAAUUGUGGCAUUCUAUUUCCAAAUAUAUUUUAAAAAAUGCUGUAUAACUACAGUCGGGCUUGGCAAGCGGUCUCACACUUUUCGUGCUAAUUUCAUGUAUUUUGUAUCCUCUCAUUUAACAAUUGCAGUUCAAAUCAAUAUUUCAUAUUUAUUUAUUUAACUAAGCACCUAAGCAGGUACAGUCAUUAUUGCAGAAACAAACCAAAACAAAAUAUAUUUUUGUGUAAUAUGUAUCACUCUAUUUCUCUGUCUUUUCUUAAUAGAUAUCAUCAAAAUGUAAUUCUGUGAAUACAUGUGCACUGAUGCUGCUGUCCUUGUUUUCUGUUGUUAUAGCUGGACAUACAGAAUUCAUUGGCAUCUCAGUUCAAACUGUUCAUCAAGGAAAGUCAGUCAAUAUCAGCUGUAACUACAAACCAUCAAAUGACACUGAAAGAUUCACAGUGGACCUGGAAAUUAAUAAUAAAUCAUGCUCCGUAAUGAAUAAUAUCAAAUCAUGGACAUAUCAGUCAUGUCAAGAUAACAUUAGAUUCAUUUGGAUUUCAAAGACUGUUGAAAUGUUAUUUGAGGUGUCAAAUCUACAGAUUAAUGAUACUGGCAUUUACAAAUGUGUUGUGAUAAGAACCAUACCACCUCCUUCUGUGCCUUUGGGAGAAGAAAGAACAUUUGUUCAAGUGAUUGCACACCCCAAGGUGUCUGUGUCACACGUAAGAGCAUCAGAUGGAUUUCAUGAGAUUCUUUGCUGCUCUGAGGGGUUUUACCCUUCUUCUCUGGAGCUGGUGUGGAUGAGAAAUGGAGAAUUUCAGAACAUCUCUCACACAUACAACAUUAACAAAACUAACCCUGAUGGGUCAUUCACCCUUCAUUCAUAUUUGAAUGUAUCUGACUGUACAAACUACUCGUGUUGGGUAAAUCACUCAUCCCUGAGCCAACCAAUGAUUCUCCACCUGUCUCCUGCUGACUGUUAUGAGAAAAGAGAUAAAAAUAUAUGGAUAACUCUGGGGACUUGUGUGCUGCUGAUUCUUGCAAUACUGAUUAUCACAGUCCUGUGUGAGCGUUUCAAAAGAGCACGUCGGCGGUCUGUGUCUCCUGUAGGAGUGAGUGUCACACCUGAGCCUGUCCUCCACGCUCACCUGCAGACUGAGAUAGUGUAUUCAACACUGGGUGACCAUCAUCCAGUUCCAUGCAGCCCUGUCGGAGUCCGCUCAUUUCCACAAUAAACACCAAAUGAAGACCUUUUACAAUGAUCGAUAGCCUGAUCCAUGUCUAUAUCAUUCACUGACGAGAUGCCAACUUGUGUAUGUAAUAUAGUUACAUGAUUUUUCUUUCUUUUUUUUUUUUUUUUUUACUUCGCUUAACAUUUUGAUUGUAUAUAUGUGUGUUGACAAAAUAUAUGACACUGAAAAUACCAUGAGGCCUCUGUUAUUUGCAACUUCAGCACUUAAAAACUUAAUGAAAUUGUUUGCUGAGUGCAGUUUUCUCUCCUGUGUUGACGUAUUACCUAUUUAAAUAAUUAUUAAUAAAUAGUUAAUUCUUU